UCAGUGGGUAAGAGCACCCGACUGCUCUUCCGAAGGUCCAGAGUUCAAAUCCCAGCAACCACAUGGUGGUUCACAACCAUCUGCAACGAGAUCUGAUGCCCUCUUCUGGUGUGUCUGAAGACAGCUACAGUGUACUUACAUGUAAUAAAUAAAUCUUUAAAAAAAAAAAAAAAAAGUACUGCUUUAAGGGGAUUACCUUGCUCCUCGGUAGUAAAGUUCUGCCUGUCUUUUCAGAGUAUCUGGUAAUGAGACAGACUCCCCCAUGGUGAGUGGCAAGAGUGUAAGGCUAGUUUAAACCAAACAAACCAAGCUCUAUUUUUUUGUUUUUUUGUUUUUUUUUUUAGGUAUUUAUUUCAUUUACAUUUCCAAUGCUAUCCCAAAAGUCCCCCCCACGCUCCCCCACCCACUCCCACUUCUUGGCCCUGGCGUUCCCCUGUACUGAGGCAGAUAAAGUUUGCAUGACCAAUGGGCCUCUCUUUCCACUGAUAGCCAACAAGGCCAUCUUCUGAUACAUACGCAGCUAGAGACACAAGCUCUGGGGGGUACAUGGCUUAGUUCAUAUUGUUGUUCCACCUAUAGGGUUGCAGAUCCCUUUAGCUCCUUGGCUACUUUCUCUAGCUCCUCCAUUGGGGGCCCUGUGAUCCAUCCAAUAGCUGACUGUGAGCAUCCACUUCUGUGUUUGCUAGGCCCCAGCAUAGUCUCACAAGAGACAGCUAUAUCUGGGUCCUUUCAGCAAAAUCUUGCUAGUGUAUGCAAUGGUGUCAGCUGGUGUUGGGUUUUAAGAGUUGGAAGAUUCUGAAAUUCAUCUGGCUACUACCAUGAGAAUGGCUCUCUCUGAAUGCCUUCUUGAGAGUAGCUAUUUGUUUACAGCUUUCUGUUUUGGAGAGAAGUUUUGCAUUUGCUCUUAAUUUCUUAGGUAAGAUGUUUUUCCUGUAGCUUUCCUCUCUUAGUUUUAGCUCUGUCCUUUAGAACAGCUUACAGCCACUCUUCCUCAUCAACACAGCAGUCCUUCAGACUUCUUCUAGGUUAUAGCAGGUAGGAAAGCAGUGUGGGUGAGUGGAGGCCCAAACUCAGUUCCCAGAGGAUCUAGAAUUGUAGGUGAGGGGGUGGGCGGAUGAAGUGCCCAGGUGUGAGGAGAGAGAGGCUGGAAGAGGCCUCUGCAGGAGGCACUCACUGUUCUGCUCUAUCCUGUGCCGGGGAGGACCGCUGCUGCCUGGCUCUCUGAUUCUACAAAACACUACAAAUCAGAAGUUUUAUGUGACAUGAGCUUGACAUGCUACUACUCACACUUCUAAUCCCCACAUUAGAGAGAGAAACUGAGGCAGGAGAAUCACUAUGUGCUUGUACCACAGAAGUUGUUCUAAUGUGCUAGAAUGAGGCCCUGUGGUGGCACACUCCUUUAGUCCAGGCAGAAGCAAGUGGAUCUCUGAGUUCCAGGCCAGCCUGAGCUACAGGCUUCCAGGAUAGCCAGGGCUACACACCUUGUCUCAACAAACAAAAACCCACC
rnacentral:lncRNA from 1 species